CCUACGGGAGGCAGCAGUGAGGAAUAUUGGUCAAUGGUCGGGAGACUGAACCAGCCAAGCCGCGUGAGGGAUGAAGGUACAGAGUAUCGUAAACCUCUUUUGUCAGGGAACAAAGGCGGGGACGUGUCCCCGGAUGAGUGUACCUGAAGAAAAAGCAUCGGCUAACUCCGUGCCAGCAGCCGCGGUAAUACGGAGGGUGCGGGCGUUAUCCGGAUUUAUUGGGUUUAAAGGGUGCGCAGGCGGGUUGUUAAGUCCGCGGUCAAAGGCCGGGGCUCACCCCCCGCCCCGCCGGUGAAACUGGCGGUCUCGAGUUGGAGAGAAGUAGGCGGAAUGCGCGGUGUAGCGGUGAAAUGCAUAGAUAUCGCGAAGAACUCCGAUUGCGAAGGCAGCAUGCCGGCUCCACACUGACGCUGAGGCACGAAAGCGUGGGUAUCGAACAGGAUUAGAUACCCCAGUAGUC
rnacentral:rRNA from 1 species